UACGUAGGGUGCAAGCGUUGUCCGGAAUUAUUGGGCGUAAAGAGCUCGUAGGCGGUUUGUCACGUCGGCUGUGAAAACCCGAGGCUCAACCUCGGGCCUGCAGUCGAUACGGGCAGACUAGAGUAUGGCAGGGGAGACUGGAAUUCCUGGUGUAGCGGUGAAAUGCGCAGAUAUCAGGAGGAACACCGGUGGCGAAGGCAGGUCACUGGGCCGCAACUGACGCUGAGGAGCGAAAGCAUGGGGAGCGAACAGG
rnacentral:rRNA from 1 species